CCGUACAUAUAGUUGAAUGGCAGGUUUAAGUAGAGGAAGCACAAUUAUCCAGCAAAAUCUGAAGAUAACUCAGUUAGGUAAAAGGGGACAAAUUGAUGAAGCUAUCAAAUUGUUCAACAGGAUCACACACCCUAAUACCGUCACUUACAAUUCUAUGAUUUCUGCUUAUGCCAAGAAUGGUAGAAUCAUCAAUGCACGCAACCUGUUCGACAAAAUGCACUUCAAAAAUUUAAUCUCCUGGAAUACAAUGAUCAAUGGGUAUUUGUUUAAUGGCCAAGUUGAUAAAGCGUGUGAACUGUUCGAUAAAAUGCCUCAGAGAGACCAUUUUACUUAUGCAUUGAUGAUAACUUGUUAUUCGCGUAGUGGGGAGCUUGAAAAGGCUAGAAAUAUGUUUGAGUUACUUCCUGAUAAAAGUAAUGUAGCUUGUUGGAACGCGAUGAUUACAGGGUAUGCAAAAGCUGGAAGGUUAGACGAUGCGAGGAGAAUGUUUGAUGGCAUGCCAAGAAAGAAUUUAGUUUCAUGGAACUCGAUGCUUUCAGGAUAUACCAAGAAUGGGGAAAUGCAAUUUGGAUUGAAAUUUUUUGAGGAUAUGGAAGAGAAGGACGUCGUUUCUUGGAAUUUAUUAGUGGACGGGUUUAUUGAGGUUGGGGAUUUGGAUUCUGCUAAAGUAGUUUUUGCUAAGAUUCCAAAUCCAAAUGUUGUUUCUUGGGUGACAAUGCUGAGUGGAUUUGCAAGAUAUGGGAUGAUAUUGGACGCUGAAAUGAUUUUUGACCAAAUGCCGGAGAAAAAUGAGGUUGCUUGGAAUGCCAUGUUAGCUGCAUAUGUCCAGAAUGGCAAAAUUGAUAUGGCUGCUUCAUUAUUUAAUAGAAUGUCUCAGAGGAGCGCCGUGGCUUACACAACCAUGAUUGAUGGUUAUUUUCGUGCUGGAAAGCUCGAAGAAGCAAGGGAUUUGUUGGAUCAAAUGCCAUACAAAAAUGUUAGUGCACGAACAGCGAUGAUUUCAGGGUACAUCCAAAAUAAUAGGGUGGAUGAAGCUCGUCGGGUAUUUGAUCAAACAACUAUUCGUGAUGUUGUUUGUUGGAAUACAAUGAUUGCAGGCUACGCUCAAUGUGGGCGGAUUGAUGAAGCUUUUGAUCUGUUUGAAAAGAUGGAACCUAAGAGCAUAGUUGUUUGGAAUACCAUGAUAGCAGGUUAUGCUCAAGUGGGACAAAUGGAGAAAGCACUUGAGAUAGUUGAGAAUAUGGGAGAAAGGAAUGUAAUUUCUUGGAAUUCUCUAAUUUCAGGUUAUACCCAAAAUGGUUUUUAUGUAGAUGCACUUAAAUAUUUUAUGAUGAUGAUACGUGAUGGCAAGAAACCCGAUCGUUCUACUUUUGCUUCAGCAUUAAGUUCCUGUUCCAAUCUUGCAGCUGAACGUUUAGGUAAGCAACUUCACCAAGCGGUUAUAAAAACUGGUUAUGUGAAAAACUUAUCAGUUUGUAACGCUUUAGUCAUUAUGUAUGCAAAGUGUGGAAAGAUCUUUGAUGCAGAAAAGAUGUUUGGAGAUAUUGACAAUGCUGAUGUUAUAUCCUGGAAUUCUUUGCUUUCUGGAUAUGCUUUAAAUGGAUGUGGGAAGGAGGCUGUCAAACUUUUUCAAGAGAUGGAAGAUAUAGAAGUCGUUCCUGAUGAAGUCACAUUUGUUAGUGUUUUAUCUGCAUGUAAGCACGCUGGCUUGAGUGAUACUGGUGCAAAUUUGUUUGAGCACAUGACCAAAAAGUAUUCUAUCACUCCUUCAUCGGAACAUUAUGCUUGCAUGGUUGACUUACUUGGGCGAGCGGGGAGGUUAGAAGAAGCUCUCCUUUUAAUAAAGGAAAUGAAAACAAAUGUUACGGCAGAAAUGUGGGGUGCCCUAUUUGGGGCUUGUCGCUUGCAUAACAAUAUAAAGAUCGCUGGCUGUGCUGUUGAGAAGCUUCUUGAACUUGAACCUCAUACAUCUACAAAUCUGGUUGUCUUAUCAAACAUGUAUGCUGAACUAGGAAGAUGGGGUGAUGUGGAGAGAGUUAGGGAAACAAUAAAAAAGGGUGGAGCAGGCAGACUACCAGGAUGCAGCUGGCUUGAGGAUAGGAAUCAGUUGCUUGUUUUUCUUUGUGGUGAUGAUACUUCAGCGCAGGCAGUGGAGAACUUUAAUGUUUUAUUCACUUUAACUGCACAAAUGAUGGAUAUGGGCCAUGGCUGCAAGGUGGCUUUGCAUGACUCUAUGGCAGAUGCGAAAAUCACUCCAAUGUCUGGAAAUACUUUGCAUCUGCAACAGAAGGCAUGCAGAGCUGGAAUGGAAUUCUGCAAGAUAUAACCAGAAGAGUGAAGCGAAAACUUGCUUAUGAGGUAACUGCUGUUGUCUAGAUAUAAGGUUAGUGCAGAUCUCCACAGUGAUUAUAUGAUAAAGCAGCUGAUAACCGUGAAGGCGUGAACGGUGCAUUGGUGUUUCCAGGUAGGUGAAUCCAAGUUCGCCCUUACAUAACGUGCAUAUAAUAAUACUUGUAGUAUCUAAUGUCUUAUCAUCAGUCUUUUUCUUCUAUCCUUGUAGUAUCUUCUAUCUUUUUAUCAUCUAUUUUUUUCCUGAUCUUGGAGAACAUUUAAAUUGCACAUAAAAAAAGUUUUACCGUCUCUCUUCUUAAACUUCUAUAACAGUUCAUGCAUUGUAGGGCUAUACCAACAUAAUGGACCUUGUUCUGUUGAAGGAAUUUCUGAUUUUGACUGGUUCUUCUGGUCUGUAUCUAUGUGGAUAAUCAUCUAUGUACAAGGAUGUGCACUGUUGUAACUUCAAUUUCUAGAGUUUGGUAACUUUUCAAUUAAAGUAGAUAGAUAAUACUAAUCUUUUCACAUUGAAUGUGCAAUCAUCUUAGUUCCUCGAAACUAAGACAAUCAAAUGUGGUGUUUUAAUUGAUCGCUUUCUUCUUUAUCCCUGUUUUGCAUUCACUUUUCUAUUCACAAUAUAUAUUCAAGUUUCAUCUGAUAUGUUUUAACAAAGGUAGUGGUGUGUGUCCAAGCCGCAGAUAAUGACCGGAAAGUUGCAAGGAAGUUUCUUCUAAAUGACUCCCGAUCUCAGGUUGCAGUCUUUCUAGAAGGUCCAUGUCCAGUCAUGGAUAUCCUCCUUAAUGGUUUAGUCAUAAAGCAUGCAUCUAAAGCUCCUCCUCCACCAGUAAUUGAGGAUGAUGAUUUUGGUGUUAAUAUAUGAAUGACGGAACAAAUGGCUGGUUCCCCACUUGGAAGUGUACAAUGAACGUUCAAGGGACUGAGGGAGCAAUAAGAUGGGAUCUGCAAUUAUAUACAUAAUUGUUGAAAUGUGUUUGAUUUCUUUUAAACUUUUGUACGAGCUUGCUGGGCAUUUUCAGCAUGUGCAGCCAUGGAGGGAAUAAAUGUGAUAGUCACCGGUGAAGUUAUUAGUCCUUCUGCACAAGAACUUACUUAUUGAUUGUGAUAAUUCAAACAAUAAUGGCUGUGAAGGUGGACUUAAGAACCUUGCUUUUGAAUGGGUGAUCAACAAUGGCGGCAGUGGUUCAGCAGCUGAUUAUCCGUACACUGCCUCUCAAGGCACACUUGCAAUUACAA